AUCCAGUUAACGAGUCCCAAAUAGGAUGAAACGCGCGUCCUGUAU
rnacentral:hammerhead_ribozyme from 1 species